rnacentral:lncRNA from 1 species
AAGGUUUUUUUACCAAUAAUCAUUUUUGUUCAAUAAGAUACCAAAGUGGAUGAUUGACUCAUUCCAUACUAGAAAUAAUCGCAGGGAUUCUCGCGAGUCUAUAUAUGUAGAUUAUAGUAUAGAAAGAACUUCCCCCAACCAGUAGCGUCUGAUUAGCUAGUUGGUGAGGUAAUAGCUUACCAAGGCGAUGAUCAGUAGCUGGUCCGAGAGGAUGAUCAGCCACACUGGGACUGAGACACGGCCCAGACUCCUACGGGAGGCAG